UACGUAGGGGGCAAGCGUUAUCCGGAAUCACUGGGCGUAAAGGGUGCGUAGGCGGCUAAUCAAGCCAGGGGUGAAAGGCUACGGCUUAACCGUAGUAAGCCUUUGGAACUGAAUAGCUUGAGUGCAGGAGAGGAGAGUGGAAUUCCUAGUGUAGCGGUGAAAUGCGUAGAUAUUAGGAGGAACACCAGUGGCGAAGGCGACUCUCUGGACUGUAACUGACGCUGAGGCACGAAAGCGUGGGGAGCAAACAGG
rnacentral:ncRNA from 3 species